AUUGAACGCUGGCGGCAUGCUUUACACAUGCAAGUCGAACGGAAAGAGGUCUUCGGUUGCUGACGAGUGGGGGACGGGUGGGUAAUACAUCGGAACGUGCCCAGCCCUGGGGGAUAAGGCGGCUAAAGGUUAGCUAAUCCCGCAUACGAUCGAAGGAUGAACGCAAGGGACGGCAAGGCCUUGCGCGGUUGGAGCGGCCGAUGGCAGAUGAGGUAGAUGGUGGGAUAAACGCUUACCAAGCCGAAGAUUUGGACCUGGACUGAGAGGACGACGAGCGACACUGGGACUGAGACACGGCCCAGACUCCUACGGGAGGCCGCAGUGGGGAAUUGUGGACAAUGGGCGAAAGCCUGAUCCAGCAAUGCCGCGUGCAGGAUGAAGGCCUUCGGGUUGUAAACUGCUUUUGUACGGAACGAAAAGCCUCUGGCUAAUACGUGGGGCACAUGACGGUACCGGAAGAAUAAGCACCGGCUAACUACGUG
rnacentral:rRNA from 1 species